rnacentral:tRNA from 1 species
GAGCGCAUACGACAGAUCGAAGGUGAGAGCGCCCGGCUCAUAACCGGGUGGUCCUUGGUUCGAGUCCAAGUGGGCCCA